rnacentral:rRNA from 1 species
CCCGAAUUGGAAGGAUUUAUUCGAGAAUAGAUUUUACUGUGGAAUAAUUAUUUUAAAUUUUUGGAUGGUAAUGAAACGUUAUUCGUCUUCUAAUAUAUCUGGUUUCUUAAGAAAUAGGUUGAAUCUGUCCAUUAAAUUAUGUCUAAAGGAUUUUGUCGUUAGAUUUAUUUAAUGAGAAUAUUUAAGGGGAUAAGCUUUUAAAUAUAUAAUUUUAACCAAUUUGUCUAAUUUUGUGAGUAGGGUUAGAAAUUCCUUUCUUUUAUAGUGUGUUAUAAUUAUAUUAAAUUUUAAUGUGAUUUGUAUUGGUUGGAUUUCUUUAUUAAGAAAUUUUAUUUAAUGUGGAAUUGUAAGGUAUAAUGAUUAAAUUAGUAAAAGUAUUUUUAUUCUUAAUUGGUGAUUUUCAGGUUAAUAUAAGGAACUCGGCAAAUAUAUUUCUUGCCUGUUUAUUAAAAACAUGUCCUUUUGUCCAAUUGAUUUAAGGUCUGGCCUGCCCACUGAGUAUUUUAAUGGCUGCGGUAUUUUGACCGUACAAAGGUAGCAUAAUCAUUAGUUUCUUAAUUAGAAGCUUGUAUGAACGGCCGGACAAGGAAAUGACUGUCUCAUAUUAAUUUCUAUUGAACUUUAUUUUUAAGUUAAAAAGCUUAAAUAUAUUUAAAAGACGAGAAGACCCUAUAGAGUUUUACAUAUUUAUAUUGUUAAGUGAUUAGUAAAUUCUUCUUUAAAUAAGUAGUAUGUUUUGUUGGGGUGACAGGGAAAUUUAAAUAACUUUUCUUUAUUGAUAACAUUAAUUUAUGAUUAUUUGAUCCGGAAGUUUCGAUUAAAAGACCAAAUUACCUUAGGGAUAACAGCGUAAUUUCUUUUGAGAGUUCAUAUCGAAAUAGAAGUUUGCGACCUCGAUGUUGGAUUAAAAUUUACUGUUGGUGUAGCAGUUAACAGGUCUGGGUCUGUUCGACCCUUAGAAUUUUACAUGAUCUGAGUUUAGACCGGCGUGAGCCAGGUUGGUUUCUAUCUUUAAUAAGGUUUAAUUUUCUAGUACGAAAGGACCGAGGAUU